rnacentral:lncRNA from 1 species
UGAGGAUCAGCUGGAGGAGCUUUGAUGAAGUGCUGAUGUCCAGGGCGCACCCUCAGAGACAGGAACUGGCAAACAGACACACGGAGGAGCAGGUCACGUGAAGAUGGAGGCAGAGGUUGGAGUUAUGCUGCCAUAAGACAAAAAGUGCCUGGAGCCCCCAGACGCUGGAAGAGGCGAGGAAGUAUCUAG